rnacentral:rRNA from 1 species
CAGUCGCCGCGGUAAUACGUAGGUGGCAAGCGUUGUCCGGAAUUAUUGGGCGUAAAGGGCUCGCAGGCGGUUUCUCAAGUCUGAUGUGAAAGCCCCCGGCUCAACCGGGGAGGGUCAUUGGAAACUGGGAAACUUGAGUGCAGAAGAGGAGAGUGGAAUUCCACGUGUAGCGGUGAAAUGCGUAGAGACGUGGAGGAACACCAGUGGCGAAGGCGACUCUCUGGUCUGUAACUGACGCUGAGGAGCGAAUGCGUGGGGAGCGAACAGGAUUAGAUACCCCCGUAGUCCCUGUCUCUUAUAC